AUGGAUUUCGUCUUUAUUUGCAUGUGUGGAUCUGUGAGAUUCAUUUUUCAAAUAUCGACGAUCUGUUGAUGCUUUUGGUUACUGGAACGACUUUUGAAGAGGUUUAUUGUAAAUGUGAGCUUAUGUGACCGACGAUACGACAUGUAUUCUUAUUUGCAAAAGUAGUGGCAGAGGAGACUUUCAGAUGAAUAUUUUACUUGCUGAAUGAGUCUAUGGGUGUGGAAUAACUUAGAUUUGUUGUAUAAAGAUUAAAGAGCUAUGGAAGACAUGUACAUGGGCCACUGGUGGAUGUUCUAAGAGAUAAAGAGAGUUUUCUAGCUUUCCUCAAAGCCUCCUGAUGGAGAAAGUUAAAGUUUGGUUAGGACAUAAUACGAACAAAAGUCAACAUCUUUGAUGUGAUUACAUAUAUAUGGGACCUGAAGCAAUAGAUAUUAUGUUGGCUUCUACGUUGGCAUAAACAUCACAACACAAUUAAAAACGCCAGUUGGCAUUUUAUAUAUGUGGAGGGAAAUAUCAGUAUCUUUUAGACACAAUGGACAUCAAUCCCGAUCCCUUAGACUUGAUAUUGAUGAUUUUAUUAAUGAGUUUAGAGACCGAGUUUAGUUAUCCUAGAUUGUUCCAACCGAGUAUAAAUACAUAUCGAAAGAAGUCUUACCCACAAAUCAAUUCUCUGUUACCGAGUACUUCUCCCCGAUGAAUGAAUAUGACAGGACAUGGCCAGCGGUUUACUUUUUAUAUUAUCUUUCACCUAUUACUGUUACCAUCAAAGAAGAGCGACAGAGUUUUCUCCACUUCAUAACUCGGUUAUGUGCGGUGCU
rnacentral:lncRNA from 1 species